GUGGGGAAUUUUGGACAAUGGGCGCAAGCCUGAUCCAGCAAUGCCGCGUGUGUGAAGAAGGCCUUCGGGUUGUAAAGCACUUUUGGCAGGAAAGAAAUAGUGCGUGCUAAUACCAUGCGCGAAUGACGGUACCUGCAGAAUAAGCACCGGCUAACUACGUGCCAGCAGCCGCGGUAAGACGUAGGGUGCAAGCGUUCAUCGGAAUUACUGGGCGUAAAGCGUGAGCAGGCGGUUUUGUAAGACAGGUGUGAAAUCCCCGGGCUCAACCUGAGAACUGCACGUGUGACUGCAAGGAUAGAGUGUGUCAGAGGGAGGUGGAAUUCCGAGUGUAGCAGUGAAAUGCGUAGAGAUGCGGAGGAACACCGAUUGCGAAGGCAGCCUCCUGGGAUAACACUGACGCUCAGGCACGAAAGCGUGGGGAGCAAACAGGAUUAGAUACCCUUGUAGUCC
rnacentral:rRNA from 1 species